rnacentral:rRNA from 1 species
UCGGGAAUUUUGGGCAAUGGGCGAAAGCCUGACCCAGCAACGCCGCGUGAGGGAUGAAGUAUUUCGGUAUGUAAACCUCGAAAGAAUGGGAAGAAUAAAUGACGGUACCAUUUAUAAGCUCCGGCUAACUACGUGCCAGCAGCCGCGGUAAUACGUAGGGAGCAAGCGUUGUUCGGAUUUACUGGGCGUAAAGGGCGCGUAGGCGGCGCGGUAAGUCACUUGUGAAAUCUCUGAGCUUAACUCAGAACGGCCAAGUGAUACUGCUGUGCUAGAGUGCGGAAGAGGCAACCGGAAUUCUGGGUGUGGCGGUGAAAUUCGUAGAGAUCAAGAGGAACACCUGAGGCGAAGGCGGGUUGCGGGGCCGACACUGACGCUGAUGCGCGAAAGCCAGGGGAGCAAACG